UACAGAGGUCCCAAGCGUUGUUCGGAUUCACUGGGCGUAAAGGGUGCGUAGGUGGUGAGGUAAGUCGGAUGUGAAAUCUCCGAGCUCAACUCGGAAAUGGCAUUGGAAACUACCUUGCUAGAGGGUUGGAGGGGGGACUGGAAUACUUGGUGUAGCAGUGAAAUGCGUAGAUAUCAAGUGGAACACCAGUGGCGAAGGCGAGUCCCUGGACAACUCCUGACACUGAGGCACGAAAGCUAGGGGAGCAAGCAGG
rnacentral:rRNA from 1 species